GGGCGUGUAGCACAGUGGUAGCGCGUGGGCUUUGCAUGCUUGAGGUCACCGGUUCGAACCCGGUCUCGUCCA
rfam:Yarrowia lipolytica strain CLIB122 chromosome D complete sequence.